AGUGAAAGCUGGCGGUAGGCCUAACACAUGCAACUCGAACGGCAGCACAGUAAGAGCUUGCUCUUACGGGUGGCGAGUGGCGGACGGGUGAGGAAUACAUCGGACUCUACUUUUUCGUGGGGGAUAACGUAGGGAAACUUACGCUAAUACCGCAUACGACCUACGGGUGAAAGCAGGGGAUCUUCGGCCCUCGCGCGAUUGAAUGAGCCGAUGUCGGUUUAGCUAGUUGGCGGGGUAAAGGCCCACCAAGGCGACGAUCCGUAGCUGGUCUGAGAGGAUGAUCAGCCCCACUGGAACUAGGACACGGUCCAGACUCCUACGGGAGGCAGCAGUGGGGAAUAAUGGACAGUGGGCGCAAACCUGAUCCAGCCAUACCGCAAAGGUGAAGAAGGCCUUCGGGUUCUAAAGCCCUUUUGUUGGGAAAGAAAAGCAGCCGGUUAAUACCCCGCUGUUCUGACGGUACCCAAAGAAUAAGCACGGGCUAACUUCGUG
rnacentral:rRNA from 1 species